GCCGGUGUAGUUUCGUGAGUGUGGAGUAUCUAUCGUGGAACGAGAGGUAGGCCAGGUUAGAGUAAAAGAACCUCCUUGAGCCAAGAGUUUCCCGGUAGCUGAUUGCAGUUUCGAAAAAGGUAGAAACACGGCAUCACGACAGAAGCAGGAACGGGAGCUAUACGAGCUAAUUUUUCAAAGGAGAACAUUACUGGAAGCCAGGACGAGGUGUUGAUCGCAGCCAAGGAUAGCAAAAAACGGGU
rnacentral:lncRNA from 1 species